AAGUCGUAACAAGGUUUCCGUAGGUGAACCUGCGGAAGGAUCAUUAAUGAAUUAAGAGGGCUGUUGCUGGCUUCAUUGAAGCAUGUGCACGCCUUUUCAUCUUCACUACACCUGUGCACCUUCUGUAGGCUGGGUUCAAAAGAAACCAGUCUAUGUUUUUUUAAUACACACACAAAAGUCUAGAAUGUCAUUUUACAAGUGUGUCAUACAAAGCAUACUUUUAAUAUCAUACAACUUUCAACAACGGAUCUCUUGGCUCUC
rnacentral:misc_RNA from 1 species